rnacentral:rRNA from 1 species
UACGGAGGGUGCAAGCGUUGUCCGGAUUUAUUGGGUUUAAAGGGUGCGUAGGCGGCUAAUUAAGUCAGCGGUGAAAUUCCACAGCUCAACUGUGGAACUGCCAUUGAUACUGGUUGGCUUGAGCACAGAUGAGGUAGGCGGAAUUGACAGUGUAGCGGUGAAAUGCUUAGAUAUUGUCAAGAACACCUAUUGCGAAGGCAGCUUACUAAGCUGUAACUGACGCUGAGGCACGAAAGCGUGGGGAUCAAACAGG